AUGUGGACUGAUGAGCUGCAAAUUUCUAUUUAUAGUGCUUCUUUUCAUGCUAUCUUAGCUAAUGUUGUCCAUAGGGCCUCGAGUAUUGAGUAUGGUUUGGUUUGCAUCUAUGGUUACCCUUACCACCGCCAAACUAAGGCCAUUUGGGAUCAGGUUGCUAAUUUUGUGUAUGAUAAUUUAGGCAAACCUAUUAUCUGCAUGGGUGACUUGAAUGAUAUCAUGUAUGAUAUUGAAAAGUGUAAUGCAAAUGUAAAUUACUAUCGCAUGUCUGCCUUUCGUGCUUUGGUAAAAAAAUGUGGGUUCUUUGACAUUAGUUAUAGUGGUCCAGUUUACACUUGGCGCAAUAGGCAGCAUACGACUAAUCCAAUCUAUCAACGUUUAGAUCAUUGCUUAGUUAAUCCAGAUUGGUGUUCCAUUUAUACAAAUACAAAAGUGCUUAAUUUACCAAUCAUCUUAAUUGAUCAUGUGCCUAUCUUGAUUCCCACUGAGGGCUAG
rnacentral:rRNA from 1 species